CAAGUCGAGGGGUAUAGGAAGCUUGCUUCCUAGAGACCGGCGCACGGGUGCGUAACGCGUAUGCAAUCUACCUUGUACAGAGGAAUAGCCCAGAGAAAUUUGGAUUAAUGCCUCAUAGUAUAUUAAGUCGGCAUCGGCCUAAUAUUAAAGUUUCGGCGGUACAAGACGAGCAUGCGUCCCAUUAGUUAGUUGGUAAGGUAACGGCUUACCAAGACAAUGAUGGGUAGGGGUCCUGAGAGGGAGAUCCCCCACACUGGUACUGAGACACGGACCAGACUCCUACGGGAGGCAGCAGUGAGGAAUAUUGGGCAAUGGGCGGAAGCCUGACCCAGCCAUGCCGCGUGCAGGAAGACGGCCCUAUGGAUUGUAAACUGCUUUUAUACGGGAAGAAACACCCCCUCGUGAGGGGACUUGACGGUACCGUAAGAAUAAGGAUCGGCUAACUCCGUGCCAGCAGCCGCGGUAAUACGGAGGAUCCAAGCGUUAUCCGGAAUCAUUGGGUUUAAAGGGUCCGUAGGCGGCCUUAUAAGUCAGUGGUGAAAUCUCCUAGCUCAACUAGGAAACUGCCAUUGAUACUGUAGGGCUUGAAUUAUUGUGAAGUAACUAGAAUAUGUAGUGUAGCGGUGAAAUGCUUAGAUAUUACAUGGAAUACCAAUUGCGAAGGCAGGUUACUAACAAUAUAUUGACGCUGAUGGACGAAAGCGUGGGUAGCGAACAGGAUUAGAUACCCUGGUAGUCCACGCCGUAAACGAUGGAUACUAGCUGUUGGGGGCAACUUCAGUGGCUAAGCGAAAGUGAUAAGUAUCCCACCUGGGGAGUACGAACGCAAGUUUGAAACUCAAAGGAAUUGACGG
rnacentral:rRNA from 1 species